UCAUGGAUAUGGCGCAGCUGAUGCAGCAUGCCGCGUGAGUGAUGAGGCCUUCGGGUUGUAAGCUCUGUCGUUCGGGACGAUCAUGACUGUACCCAUAGAUGAAGCACCUGAUAGCUCCGUGACAGCAAGCGCAGGCAUACUACGUGCCAGCAGCCGCGGUAAUA
rnacentral:rRNA from 1 species